AUUGAACGCUGGCGGCGUGCUUAACACAUGCAAGUCGAACGAAGUGGCGAACGGGUUAGUAAUAAGUGGGUAACCUGCCCUCCUUUUUGGGAUAAGCCUUGGAAACGGGGUCUAAUACCGAAUAAUGGGGGAUGGGCUCGCGGCCUGUCGGCUUGUUGGUGGGGUGAUGGCCUACAAAGGCGGUGACGGGUAGCCGGCCGGAGAGGGUGACCGGCCACAUGGGGACUGAGAAACGGCCAGGACUCCUACGGGAGGCGGCAGUGGGGAAUAUUGGACAAUGAGCGAAGGCCUGAUGCAGCCAGGCCGGGUGUGUAAGGAAGGCUUUCGGGUUGUAAGGCACGUUAAGCGAGGAGACGGUACUCGCAGAGGAAGCAACGGCUAACUCCGUGCCAGCAGCCGCGGUAAUUC
rnacentral:rRNA from 1 species